GGGCUAUGAGAGUCUCUCCCUUUUAGAGCAUGUCUUUCUGAAAUCUUUUUGGAUGGAAAUAUAUUCCAUCUUUCCUUGCCAUAUAUCCAUUCAUGAUCAAUGGGCUGAUUCAUACCAUAUCAGACGUGAAGAUGGAGGAGAAUGUAAUGUUCAUCAAUAUAUGAUGAAUGAUGAAUUUUACAAGCAAUUGAUGCAACUUAAAGCUAAGGGAUUUUGCAAACUUAUGACCAGAAUUUUCUGUAUUUAUAUAUAGUAAACCCCGCAA
rnacentral:lncRNA from 1 species